rnacentral:rRNA from 1 species
CCUACGGGAGGCAGCAGUGGGGAAUAUUGCACAAUGGGGGAAACCCUGAUGCAGCGACGCCGCGUGAAGGAUGAAGUAUUUCGGUAUGUAAACUUCUAUCAGCAGGGAAGAAAAUGACGGUACCUGACUAAGAAGCCCCGGCUAACUACGUGCCAGCAGCCGCGGUAAUACGUAGGGGGCAAGCUUUAUCCGGAUUUACUGGGUGUAAAGGGAGCGUAGACGGCAUGGCAAGUCUGAUGUGAAAGCCCGGGGCCCAACCCCGGGACUGCCCUUGGAACUGCAUGGCUGGAGUGCGGGAGGGGCAGGCGGAAUUCCUGGUGUAGCGGUGAAAUGCGUAGAUAUCAGGAGGAACACCGGCGGCGAAGGCGGCCUGCUGGACUGCGACUGACGUUGAGGCUCGAAGGCGUGGGGAGCGAACAGGAUUAGAUACCCUAGUAGUC